GUGAUUAUUGUUCACUUGAGCAUCUCGUAUACUAAAAUUGAAAUGAUGCGGAGAUUAGCAUGGCCCCUGCACAAGGAAGAUACUAGAAGUGGAUUCAUAUCCACUUUCCUGUUUUU
rnacentral:snRNA from 1 species